CACCUCUCAGGGUCAUACCUGGAAAGUUUCCAGUACUCUACCAGUCUCGACUAUGGGAGGGAGAGUCAAGCAGAGUUAUACCCAUUCCAUUCCUAGCUUGGGGCAGUGGCUAGUGAAUGGAAGGCAAUCUGCUACAAGU
rnacentral:snoRNA from 1 species